UCUAUCAUUAAAUAUAAUUGGGUCCCACCACUUUACCCACUUUUCCUCUAACUUUACUCACUUUUUACACUUUUUCUUGGUCUCCGUGUCCAAACCAUUUGUAUAUAAAUGAUUGGGACGGAGGGAGUACUUUUUGUGUAGGGAUGCGAUAACAGUGAUAAUGUUUUUGUUUUGUUUUCUCUCAGUAAUACAGUAAUGAUUUAUUAUUACUAAUCUACUAUAUUAUAUCUAUUAUACAAGAACAGCUCCGUUUCCUGAGCAAAUUUAUUCAGAUGCAAAAGACGUUUUUAUCCUUCCAAAACUAACGUACAUGAGUAGUUUAGUUGUCUGAAUAAUAGAGAAAGACGUAUUUGGCCUUCCAAACCUAAUUCAAGACCUCGUUUCUUGAAAUAUUUUACCGUCACUGAGUUCUCCGUCUUCCCCCAAAAUCUCCGUACCUUUAUCCAUCGUUUAUCUACCUUACCGGCUUCGUCCCUUUCUAUAUCUCUCUUAACAUAAAAGGUUAACAUGAAAGGGUAAAAGAAACCCAAAACUUGAGGCUCCGUUCACUGCUCUGAACUCUCACUUUAUUUGCUGUAUACACAUCUGCGCCGAUGAACGUGAUCUGGUCUCGGUUCCUACGAAAAGUCUGUUCUCCACUUGCUCCAGACAUAAACUGGGGUUAUCUUCAGGAGCAAAGGGAAUUGCAGUCCUCCCGCUGAUGGAAACCCCCACGGGAAUGAUCGCAAAAGAAUGAGGCGCCCAUACCAGUCAAAGAAUUAAAAAAGUGGAGAUUUCCAAUGGUGCAAAGAUCCCAAUGCAAGGCAUUGCACAAGCUUUACAUGGUCAGGACAUUGUGAACUCUCAAGAAGCCCUAAGGUUUCUAGACAUCAUCCUCCGGCAGCAUGCAGCUAAACAGUCAAGCUACCGAGCGUUAUGAAGCGGGGUUAGAGAUUAAUAAUUUUCAUCAAGAUGCUAGGUGCAAGGUGGCGCAGAAGAAAACCUUGGUUCCAAUUUCAAGAAGGUAGGAGCUGACAUCAUAAUUGGGGGGGCAAUAUAUUCCCCACGGUAAAAACCCAGGGCCAGGGCAUGAACAAUCUGCGAAUAAAGCUAGAGCAUAAUUAAAAAGAACAGUAAAGGAUAUAACAAGCCAAACUUCAUCCUUUCCAGGUUCUACAUUAUCAGGAUACUCACUGGUGUCCAUUUCAUAAUCUAA